rnacentral:rRNA from 1 species
GACGAACGCUGGCGGCGUGCUUAACACAUGCAAGUCGAACGAAGUGGCGAACGGGUGAGUAACGCGUAAUCAACCUGCCCUUCAGAGGGGGACAACAGUUGGAAACGACUGCUCAUACCGCAUACUGAAGGCGGGGAUUGCGUCUGAUUAGCUAGUGGGAGGGGUAACGGCCCACCAUGGCGAUGAUCAGUAGCCGGUCUUGGAGGAGGAACGGCCAAAUUGGGACUGGGACACGGCCCAGACUCCUACGGGAGGCAGCAGUGGGGAAAUUUCCGCAAUGGACGAAAGUCUGACGGAGCAACGCCGCGUGAGUGAUGACGGCCUUCGGGUUGGAAAGCUCUGUUAAUCGGGACGCGGUACCGGAAUAGAAAGCCACGGCUAACUACGUGCCAGCCGCCGGGGUAAUUC